rnacentral:rRNA from 1 species
GAUGAACGCUGGCGGCGUGCUUAACACAUGCAAGUCGAACGGUCCCUUUCGGGGGAUAGUGGCGGGCGGGUGAGUAACACGUGAGGAUCUGCCCAUAGGACGGGGAUAACAGUGGGAAACUGCUGCUAAUACCGGAUGAGCCGAGAGGUAAAACUUUUUAAGGCCUAUGGAGGAGCUCGCGGCUGAUUAGCUAGUUGGUGGGGUAAGGCCUAUCAAGGCAUUGAUCAGUAGCUGGUCUGAGAGGAUGAUCAGCCACACUGGGACUGAGACACGGCCCAGACUCCUACGGGAGGCAGCAGUGGGAAUUUUCCGCAAUGGGCGAAAGCCUGACGGAGCAAGACCGCGUGGGGGAGGAAGGUUUUUGGAUCGUAAACCCC